rnacentral:rRNA from 1 species
UACGGGGGGAGCAAGCGUUGUUCGGAUUUACUGGGCGUAAAGGGCGCGUAGGCGGUAGCACAAGUCAGUUGUGAAAUCUCCGGGCUUAACUCGGAAAGGUCAACUGAUACUGUGCGACUAGAGUGCAGAAGGGGCAACUGGAAUUCUCGGUGUAGCGGUGAAAUGCGUAGAUAUCGAGAGGAACACCUGCGGCGAAGGCGGGUUGCUGGGCUGACACUGACGCUGAGGCGCGAGAGCGUGGGGAGCGAACAGG